CCUACACCUAGAAGAUUUAGACAUGUGUCUGCUGUGUCCCAUGUGUAUCCGUAAGUGGCAGAGAAGAGAGAGGCUCUAUCUUUGCUCAGUGCUCUGACCUCUGAACAUCUGAAUGAUUAGCAUUCCCUGAUU